rnacentral:rRNA from 1 species
GACGAACGCUGGCGGCGUGCCUAAUACAUGCAAGUAGAACGCUGAAGCGAGGAGCUUACUCUUCUUGGAUGAGUUGCGAACGGGUGAGUAACGCGUAGGUAACCUGCCUUGUAGCGGGGGAUAACUAUUGGAAACGAUAGCUAAUACCGCAUAACAAUGGAUGACACAUGUCAUUUAUUUGAAAGGGGCAAUUGCUCCACUACAAGAUGGACCUGCGUUGUAUUAGCUAGUAGGUGAGGUAAUGGCUCACCUAGGCGACGAUACAUAGCCGACCUGAGAGGGUGAUCGGCCACACUGGUACUGAGACACGGCCCAGACUCCUACGGGAGGCAGCAGUAGGGAAUCUUCGGCAAUGGGGGCAACCCUGACCGAGCAACGCCGCGUGAGUGAAGAAGGGUUUCGGAUCGUAAAGCUCUGUUGUAAGUCAAGAACGGGUGUGAGAGUGGAAAGUUCACACUGUGACGGUAGCUUACCAGAAAGGGACGGCUAACUACGUG